ACAAAUCAUUCACAAUUACGUAAAAAUUAAAGGAAAAAAAAAAUAGAAUUGGACCUCAAUAUCACUUUUAAAAUCGAUGUAUUAUUUUGAUUAAACUCUGUAUAAUCCGCGUUCGAAGUACCUCAAUGUGAACCUCAAUAACGAACAAGACCAAUCUCCAUAUAGCCUUUUCGCUCUACUUUUACCAAACUGAACCCACAACUCGGCUAAUCUAUCCAACCCGCUUCCAUUUUUCCUUCUCCAUCUUUAUAUCCUCUAAAAGGAAGAAGAAAAUAAAAAACCCAAACACCCCUGUUUGCGUGUGUUUCCUAUGUGAGAAAAAGAGCAGAAAAUAAUGGCAUCAAAUGUGCUCCCUUUUCUCCCCCCUCUAUACGUCUUCUGUAUGCGGGUAGAUAUAUUCCUGUUAUCUCUUUUUCUUUUUGUGUCUUCUCAGUAAAAAAGAAAAGAGAAAAAAUGGAAACCCCCAAAAGCCCCCAUGGAAAAUUAUGUGAUCCCCUAUAUAUCCCCUUUUCCUAUCCAGAAUGUGAGUGUGUGUUGUGUGCUCCCCCUAUCCCGUGGAAUUUUUCUUUCCCUUUUUGUUGUAUGUGCGUAUGAGUGAAAAAAUGUGUAUCCCCGUGUUCUGUGAUGUGUGAUAUACGAGAAUUGUGAGGUGAAGCUGUGUAUUUUUGAGUAUGGAAUUGUCUUGUAUAGGUGUGUGAGUGCAAAAUGGUGUUUUUUGUGUAGUGUGUCUUGAAUAAAAAAAAUAUGAUGGUCUUUUAUUUGUGCCCUUUUCCAUUUUUUUACUGUGGGUCUUCCUUUUCUAUUUUUGGUAUUAGAAAAGUGUGUAAUGGAUGAUGAGAGUGUGAGAGGUCACGUGGGUGUGGGUGGGGG
rnacentral:lncRNA from 1 species